UACGGAGGGUGCAAGCGUUAUCCGGAUUUACUGGGUUUAAAGGGUGUGUAGGCGGGCUUUUAAGUCAGUGGUGAAAUCUCCGGGCUCAACCCGGAAACUGCCAUUGAUACUAUUAGUCUUGAAUUUUGUUGAGGUAGGCGGAAUAAGUCAUGUAGCGGUGAAAUGCAUAGAUAUGACUUAGAACGCCAAUUGCGAAGGCAGCUUGCUAAACAAAUAUUGACGCUGAGGCACGAAAGCGUGGGGAUCAAACAGG
rnacentral:rRNA from 1 species